UACGGAGGGCGCGAGCGUUGUCCGGAAUCACUGGGCGUAAAGGGUGCGUAGGCGGCCUGAUAAGUAGGGGGUGAAAUCCUGCGGCUUAACCGCAGGGCUGCCUUCUAAACUGUCGGGCUCGAGCACAGUAGAGGCAGGUGGAAUUCCCGGUGUAGCGGUGGAAUGCGUAGAGAUCGGGAAGAACAUCAGUGGCGAAGGCGGCCUGCUGGGCUGUUGCUGACGCUGAGGCGCGACAGCGUGGGGAGCAAACAGG
rnacentral:rRNA from 1 species